GAUUAGUUCACUUUUAAAAAAACUUUUGCUGAUAAUUUACUCACCCCCAUGUCAUCCAAGAUGUCCAUGUCUUUCUUUCUUCAGUCGAAAAGAAAUUAAGGUUUUUGAUGAAAACAUUCCAGGAUUUUUCUCCAUAUAAUUCACUUUGCUGGGCACCAAACGGUUCAAGGUCCAAAAGACAGUUUCAGUGCAAACUGCAAACUGUUCAAAGGGCUUUAAACGACACCAGACGAUGAAUAAGGGUCUUAUCAAGCGAAACGAUCGGUCAUUUAAAAAAAAAAAAAAAAAAAGUUUAAUAAUGUCAAAUGCUCGCCUUGCUCUGUUCUGUGAUGCUCGUUCGUGACUCUCCUGUUCGAACUCGUUCAUCAAAGUGAACAAAUCUUUUUUCGAGUCAUUUGGUUCAUUUAACGAACGAAAUGAACGAAUUGACUCGGAAAAAGAUUCCUUCAUUUUGAUGAACGAGUUCGAACAGGAGAGUCACACAGAACAGAGCAAGGCGAGCAUUUGAGCUUAUAAAACUUAAACUUUGUAAUUCCUUUUUUAAAUGAGCGAUCGUUUCGCUUGAUAAGACCCUUAUUCAUCGUCUGGUGUCGUUUAAAGCCAUUUGAACAGUUUGCACUGAAACUGUCUUUUGGACCUUGAACCGUUUGGUGCCCAGCAAAGUGCAUUAUAUGGAGAAAAAUCCUGGAAUGUUUUCAUCAAAAACCUUAAUUUCUUUUCGACUGAAGAAAGACAUGGACAUCUUGGAUGACAUGGGGCCUCGUGAGACCAUCCUGAUCUCGCGAGCUUUCAAGGUUUCACUCGCAGAUCAGUCUGGAUACUUUCCGUUAAAGAAAAUUUGGGAGCAGUUCACCAAACGAACGUCCAAUCAGCGUUGGCUUUGAGGCGGGUUGAGGUGUGACGCAACGAGAAGCGCGACAGUUCAGUCUAAAGAACAUGGCGGCUUCAGCGGAUGAAACUAG